rnacentral:rRNA from 1 species
UGGGGAAUUUUGCACAAUGGGCGCAAGCCUGAUGCAGCGACGCCGCGUGAGGGAUGAAGGCCUUCGGGUUGUAAACCUUUUUCGCUCAUGGUCAAGCCGCAGCUUUGGGUUGUGGUGAGGGUAGUGGGUAAAGAAGCGCCGGCUAACUACGUGCCAGCAGCCGCGGUAAUACGUAGGGCGCGAGCGUUGUCCGGAAUUAUUGGGCGUAAAGGGCUUGUAGGCGGUUGGCCGCGUCUGCCGUGAAAUCCUCUGGCUUAACUGGGGGCGUGCGGUGGGUACGGGUUGACUUGAGUGCGGUAGGGGAGACUGGAAUUCCUGGUGUAGCGGUGGAAUGCGCAGAUAUCAGGAGGAACACCGGUGGCGAAAGCGGCUUUUUGGCCUGCAACUGACACUGAGGCGCGAAAGCGUGGGGAGCAAACAGG